rnacentral:tRNA from 1 species
GCGCUCAUAGCUCAACGGAUCGUGCACUUGACUACGGAUCAAGAGGUUGCAGGUUCGAAUGCUGCUGAGCGCACCC